AGAGUCCCGCCUGGGUAAUCGUGAGCCGCGAGCCCAGUAUCGAGCCUUGGGGCACGAAUGGUAACAGACGCGUCCAUGCGUAGGCACGAAAACAGGCGAGGUGCAAAGGUAGCGGGUGAAGCCGCCCCUGAAGGUGUAGAGCCCCGAAAAUUACGUUGGAGAGUGCCGACGGGUUUGGCCCCCCGGCCAGGCAACACUGCAUGUCGCGUCAAGGUCAGUGGCAUGGAGACUCCCCGGGGUCCGAGGCCG
rfam:Thiorhodovibrio sp. 970 genomic scaffold Thi970scaffold_6, whole genome shotgun sequence.